rnacentral:rRNA from 1 species
AGUCACUGACAUUAGAUACCCCCUGUAGUCCAGGGUGUAAACGCUGCAGACUUGGUGUUGGAAGCCCUUUGGGGGCAUUCAGUGCCGGAGAGAAGUUGUUAAGUCUGCUACUUGGGGAGUACGUCCGCAAGGAUGAAACUUAAAGGAAUUGGCGGGGGAGCACCGCAAUGGGAGGAGCGUGCGGUUUAAUUGGAUUCAACACCGUAAACUCACCAGGGAAGACUGUUACAUGAAGGCCGAGAUGAAGACUCUGCUAGAUUUUCAG